rnacentral:lncRNA from 1 species
AAAAUUGUGCACUAACGGGUUAGCGAUAACAACUAUUUUUCUUAGUGAGAUAAUUAAUAUUAGUUGACAAAAGAUAUAGUAAUCAAAAAGAUGAAUAUUUAACAAUGAACAUGAGUGAAACAACUUUCUAAAAAUUUAAUAGGUUUGAAUCAAAUAUAUUUAUGACUUGUCUUUUGACUUUUAUGGUAUAAUACGCUUGACAAUACUUGUUACCUGCAAUAUAGUGAAUACAUAUACAUUCAUGCAAUCAUCGCAAUACAAAAAAAAAACCCCCUUUAUCAAACAAAAAAAAACAAAG